rnacentral:rRNA from 1 species
UACAGGAGGGGCGAGCGUUGAGCGUAUAAACUGGGCCUAAAGCGUGGGUAGGUGGGUGUGUGAAUCUUUCUCAAAGGGCCUUAUCAAAUGAUAGGCGUUUGUGAAUGUUUUUGAAACACACACCUGGGGUUAUUGAAAGGUUGGCAGAAUGGCCCAAGUACCGGUAGAAUGGGAAUAGAUGGGUUGGAAUCACGAAAGCGAAGGCAGUCAUCUGUAAAUAAACCGACACCCAGCCACGGAAGCGCGGGGAUCAAAUGGG